GACGAACGCUGGCGGCGUGCUUAACACAUGCAAGUCGAACGGUGAAGCGCGUGCUUGCACUCGUGGAUCAGUGGCGAACGGGUGAGUAACACGUGAGUAACCUGCCCAUCACUCUGGGAUAAGCACUGGAAACGGUGUCUAAUACUGGAUACGACCAACCCUUGCAUGGGGUGUUGGUGGAAAGUUUUGGCGGUGAUGGAUGGACUCGCGGCCUAUCAGCUUGUUGGCGGGGUACUGGCCCACCAAGGCGACGACGGGUAGCCGGCCUGAGAGGGGGACCGGCCACACUGGGACUGAGACACGGCCCAGACUCCUACGGGAGGCAGCAGUGGGGAAUAUUGCACAAUGGGCGAAAGCCUGAUGCAGCGACGCCGCGUGAGGGAUGACGGCCUUCGGGUUGUAAACCUCUUUCAGCAGUGAAGAAGCGAAAGUGACGGUACCUGCAGAAGAAGCACCGGCUAACUACGUG
rnacentral:rRNA from 1 species